UAAUUAUUUUAUUAUCUUAUUAUUAGUUAAAUUAGUAUUUCUACUGAUAAUUUUUUUUUUUUUCCAAUAAGUAAAUCUUUACAGGAUUUCAAUCUUACAAGCAACAACAAUUAAUUUAUGUGUUAUAUUAUGUUUCAAUUUUUCGCGCGAUUUUUGAAUGAAAAAAAUAAGCAUCAUGAGCCAACCAAUCAGAACAUCCCUUAAUUCGAGACGCGGGACGAAUUAGUGCGCAUCGCAAUGCGCAUCGGAGUGCGCAACGCAGUGCGCAUCACACUGCGCAUCACACUGCGCAUGUCGUCAGUCUACAGUUGAAAAUUGUGUGGAGUGGAUGUGUCGUCGCAAAUUCGGAUUACGCAGUUUAAUUGAUAGCGUUAUGGUAAUAUUCUCGAAGGCGGGAAAAAUUCCAAUAUGGACGCCAUGUCUUUCUUGGUGACUUUCUUUCGUGGUAAAAUCUUAUAUUUCAAAUCCUCUUCAACUUUCAACGGUAUGGAUUACAUCAUCGAAUAAAUAUUUUAAUUUUUAUAUUAGGAUUUCUUACAGGAGCAGAAGAUUGUACGAUAUUGAUUAAAGAAAAUGUAUUUAGAAUUAAGUGCAUGCACAAUCAAGGGUAUUAAAUAAAGUAGUGUAGUAUUGUAGAAAAGUAGAUACUGUAGAUAAAUAGAUGGGUAAAAUGGGUGUAGCGCUUUUUGGGAUGCUUAUUUUGCUUGUUUUUUUUCUUUUUUUUUUUUGCGCACGCUUUUUACUAUCAAUCAUUCUUCAUUUUCAUAUCGAAAUGGAAGUGUAAAAUAUUGAUAGAAAAUCUUUUAAUUUUAAUUUUAUUUUCAGAUUUAGUCUUCCGCGCCGGUUUUCCUUAGAAUUCCUUUCGUUGUUUGUUUUGCACAACGAUCGAAGGAUUCGAACGUUUUGCAAAUUUAUAUCGAAAGGAAAAUUUAUUAUUAAUUUUAAAUAAAUUUUUGCGUAAAGGAGGGUGGACGGGAUCGUGGAUAGGGUGGGUCUCCAAUUCGCAGCAACCUCCACGCGGUGAGACCUGGAAAAUCAUUAUUAUUUACUAUAUUAUUCAUAAUCGUAUCCUUGAUACAAUUAUAAAUUUUAUAGCGAAUAAUGUGAGCUAAUUGGCUGCGCACGCGAUUUCAAUGAUUAUUUUUUUAUUUUGUAAUUAUUAAGAUUUAUUAAAUUAUUAACGAUCAAAGUUUGAACGUUUUGCUUACAUCGAAAAGAAGAAUUUAUUUGUGAAUAAAAUAAUUUGUGAAAAUUGUAAAGUGUAAGAUUUUUUUUUCUUUUUUUGUUUCUUUGAGUUAUAACAAAUUGUUUACCUAAUUAGAGUAUGUACGCCAAGCGUAAUAUACUCUAAUCUUUUUUCGAUUCAGAAUACAUUUUAUAAAAUCCCAUAAGAUAUCGCGUCAAUCUAUUUCUGGUCGGUAUUUCGUUUAUACGUUUAUUUUACGAUCGUUAAAGAAACACAUAGAGGAGGAUAAGAAAUAUAGGUGAAUAGAAAGUGAAUAGAGAUAAGAUAAGAAUUGAACGUGAGCCCCAUCUCUUGCAAGCUAGAAACAUUUCUUUAAAGAAAUAUUUUUCUAAAGUCACCAGAGAUGGCAAUAAUAGUUAAUUCUUACUCUACCUUAUCCUCCUCGGAGAAAAAUCUUAUCCUGUUAUUCAAUCAUUUUUAAUUUAUAAUUGUUGAUUUUUGUGUUAUAUUCCCUUUUUAUUUUAUUUCUUAUUUAUAUUUAUUUAUUACAAUGUACAAUUUUUAUUGUUCAAGUUCAAGUUAGAUUUAGUUAAUUGUUAUGUUAAAUAUCUUUUUUUAUGUAUU